rnacentral:rRNA from 1 species
UCUGGCUCAGAACGAACGCUGGCGGCGUGGAUAAGACAUGCAAGUCGUGCGACAGACCAGGAAUUGAUUACUUCGGUUUGAUUUUCCUGACGAUGAGCGGCGAACGGGUGCGUAACACGUGAGAAACCUGCCUUAAAGUUCGGGAUAGCUCGGCGAAAGUCGAAUUAAUACCGGAUGUGGCCUGGGGAUAGCAUUUUCCCUUGGUUAAAGCUCGGUCACAGAGCGCUUUUAGAUGGUCUCGCGGUCUAUCAGCUUGUUGGUGAGGUAACGGCUCACCAAGGCUACGACGGAUAACUGAUCUGAGAGGAUGAUCAGUCACACUGGAACUGAGACACGGUCCAGACACCUACGGGUGGCAGCAGUCGAGAAUCAUUCACAAUGGGCGCAAGCCUGAUGGUGCGACGCCGCGUGGGGGAUGAAGGGCUUCGGUCUGUAAACCCCUGUCAUCUGUGAGUAAGGUCUCGUAUAAAAGCUACGAGGAUUGAUAUUAGCAGAAGAGGAAGGGACGGCUAACUCUGUGCCAGCAGCCGCGGUAAUACAGAGGUCCCAAGCGUUGUUCGGAUUUACUGGGCGUAAAGGGUGCGUAGGCGGUUAGAAAAGUUUGGUGUGAAAUCUUCGGGCUCAACCCGGAAACUGCACUGAAAACUAUUUAACUAGAGGAUCGGAGAGGAGAUUGGAAUUCUCAGUGUAGCAGUGAAAUGCGUAGAUAUUGAGAGGAACACCAGUUGCGAAGGCGGAUCUCUGGACGAUUCCUGACGCUGAGGCACGAAAGCUGGGGGAGCGAAGAGGAUUAGAUACCCUCGUAGUCCCAGCCGUAAACGGUGCGCACUUGCUGUGGGCGGAUUCGACCCCGUCCGUGGCGAAGCU